GAUGAACGCUGGCGGCGUGCUUAACACAUGCAAGUCGAACGGUGAAGGCGGAGCUUGCUCUGCUGGAUCAGUGGCGGACGGGUGAGUAACACGUGGGAACGUGCCUUUAGGUUCGGAAUAACUCAGGGAAACUUGUGCUAAUACCGAAUGUGCCCUUCGGGGGAAAGAUUAAUCGCCUUUAGAGCGGCCCGCGUCUGAUUAGCUAGUUGGUUGAGGUAAUGGCUCACCAAGGCGACGAUCAGUAGCUGGUCUGAGAGGAUGAUCAGCCACAUUGGGACUGAGACACGGCCCAAACUCCUACGGGAGGCAGCAGUGGGGAAUCUUGCGCAAUGGGCGAAAGCCUGACGCAGCCAUGCCGCGUGAAUGAUGAAGGUCUUAGGAUUGUAAAAUUCUUUCACCGGGGACGAUAAUGACGGUACCCGGAGAAGAAGCCCCGGCUAACUUCGUG
rnacentral:rRNA from 1 species